CAUGCCCUGCAACAUUGCCAGAACUUUCAUUUUUUUUUUUCUAUUGCUUUGUGCAUUUGUGAGUGUCUGGAAUUGCUUUGUUGACAUUGACCAAGACUUGGGUUAAAGCCACCGCCAGAGACUUUUGUCAUUUAGUUUGUACUUGUGCAAUUUGAUGGAACCUUCUCCUCUGCAAAUGCCACCAGAACAUCAUUCUUGCUUCCUCUUCUUUUGUAUCUUUUUCUUUGUACUUUGGUAACUUCAACUGCUGCAAGUUCAAGGGUUUCGUUAAUUUGAUGAAACCUUGAUAUUAUUAUCUUUACGCAGGUACAAAACAAGUACAGGAGCUGUGGUGUCAAAAAUUCUAGAGUUCCAGACUUUUGACUUCGACGGUAUAAGGCGAGGAUAGCAGCUGCAGUUGAGAUCCCAGAGUUUCAAUUUCAGGCCAAAACUUGAGGAUAAUAUCGGCACCCUAAGGCACGCCGUAUCAAAGUUCUGAAACAGUAUUGGCACCAUAAGGCACCGCCACCGGAGCUUUGAAAGCAGUUUCGGCACCCUAAGGCACGCCGAAUGAAGCUCUGAAACAGUAUUGGCACCUAAAGGUACCGCCACUGGAGCUUUGAAAGUGGUAAAACCAUAAAGAGAUGCAGACGGAUCCUCCACCUUUGAUUCCUAUG